CGACGCAGCGUGACUUCACAAGGGGAGGGGCGGGCCGAGGGUCCUGCCGGCGCGCGGGCGUGUUCAUCAGUCGCUGUUUGGGACGCUGGGUGUGCGGUGUUCUGUCUCCGCUCCCGUUUCGCUGUCACAGCCCGUUCCUUCCCGGAGCCCGGGACAGGCUGGGCGCGCGCCCGUGACGCGUGACCAAAACCAAAGACGGCCAUGAAGUGAGAUCGUGCAAAGUAGCAGAUAAAACGGGCAGCAUCACUAUUUCCGUGUGGGAUGAGAUCGGAGGUCUUAUACAGCCAGGGGAUAUUAUUCGGUUGACCAGAGGGUAUGCAUCCAUGUGGAAAGGAUGUCUGACACUUUAUACUGGAAGGGGUGGUGAACUUCAAAAAAUUGGGGAUCUAGGUGCGGUGCAGGCAGCCGCAAUGCGAGAUUCCAUACACUACUACCCUGGUAAUGAUCUCCACCCUGACCUGGAGGAGCCAUCCUCUCUAGGGGUGUAAGAUCCACAGUGAUCGAUCAAAAGAGGGACUGAAUGGGAGUGGGUGAAUGGAUCGGUGCAAAUCCAUUACCACUGCUGGAGAAACCACCCUGGAACCCUAAACAUGAUUUUGUAUGGUUUAUUCAGAAGUGCCAAAUUUCAGUGAACCCAACCCAGAUUAUCGAGGACAGCAGAACAAAGGGGCACAGAGUGAACAGAAGAAUAAUUCCAUGAAUAGUAAUAUGGGUACAGGUACAUUUGGACCAGUGGGAAAUGGUGUUCACACUGGCCCUGAAUCAAGGGAACACCAGUUUUCACAUGCUGGCAGAAGCAAUGGCCGGGGACUUAUAAAUCCACAACUACAAGGAACAGCUAGUAAUCAAACAGUGAUGACCACAAUAAGUAAUGGCAGGGACCCUCGGAGAGCCUUUAAAAGAUGACCUAUGCUAAAUACUCAUGUGUAGUUUUUAUACUACAUGCCCUACUUGAACACUUAUUGCACUUUUAUUUAUUGUUAACUGUGAAAAGUACGUCCUUUAUUGGGUUUCCUUUUAUAUUCUUGGUUUGUUAAGAAGAAUGGUUUGUUUUUAUAGCAAAACUGUUAAGCUGCUCGAGUCUCCUGUUGAAGAAUGGGAACACUGAAAAGUAGGGGCAUUUAUUUUUAGAGUAAAAAGAUUAUUGGAUAGCCUUUAAAAAACCUGCACCCAUUUCAUGGGUGAGUUACUUAAGACAUCAGCUUUAUAGCCUCUAUGAGUCUAUCUUCUGUAUAAGUUUUGUAAUAUUUAACAUAAGGCUUAAUGGGAGAUGUUCUUUUGUCUUGUAUUCAGAU
rnacentral:lncRNA from 1 species